rnacentral:rRNA from 1 species
AUUGAACGCUGGCGGCAGGCCUAACACAUGCAAGUCGAGCGAGCGGCGGACGGGUGAGUAAUGUCUGGGAAACUGCCUGAUGGAGGGGGAUAACUACUGGAAACGGUAGCUAAUACCGCAUACCAUCAGAUGUGCCCAGAUGGGAUUAGCUAGUAGGUGGGGUAACGGCUCACCUAGGCGACGAUCCCUAGCGGGUCUGAGAGGAUGAGCAGCCAAACUGGAACUGAGACACGGUCCAGACUCCUACGGGAGGCAGCAGUGGGGAAUAUUGCACAAUGGGCGCAAGCCUGAUGCAGCCAUGCCGCGUGUGUGAAGAAGGCCUUAGGGUUGUAAAGCACUUUCAGCGGGGAGGCGUUACCGGCAGAAGAAGCACCGGCUAACUCCGUGCCAGCAGCCGCGGUAAUUC